rnacentral:rRNA from 1 species
GAUGAACGCUGGCGGCGUGCUUAACACAUGCAAGUCGAACGAUGAAGCCCAGCUUGCUGGGUGGAUUAGUGGCGAACGGGUGAGUAACACGUGAGUAACCUGCCCUUAACUCUGGGAUAAGCCUGGGAAACUGGGUCUAAUACCGGAUAGGAGCGUCCACCGCAUGGAGGGUGUUGGAAAGAUUUAUCGGUUUUGGAUGGACUCGCGGCCUAUCAGCUUGUUGGGGAGUUAAUGGCUCACCAAGGCGACGACGGGUAGCCGGCCUGAGAGGGUGACCGGCCACACUGGGACUGAGACACGGCCCAGACUCCUACGGGAGGCAGCAGUGGGGAAUAUUGCACGAUGGGCGAAAGCCUGAUGCAGCGACGCCGCGUGAGGGAUGACGGCCUUCGGGUUGUAAACCUCUUUCAGUAGGGAAGAAGCGAAAGUGACGGUACCUGCAGAAGAAGCACCGGCUAACUACGUG